rnacentral:rRNA from 1 species
GACGAACGCUGGCGGCGUGCUUAACACAUGCAAGUCGAACGGAAAGGCCCUGCUUUUGUGGGGUGCUCGAGUGGCGAACGGGUGAGUAACACGUGAGUAACCUGCCCUUGACUUUGGGAUAACUUCAGGAAACUGGGGCUAAUACCGGAUAGGAGCUCCUGCUGCAUGGUGGGGGUUGGAAAGUUUCGGCGGUUGGGGAUGGACUAGCGGCUUAUCAGCUUGUUGGUGGGGUAGUGGCCUACCAAGGCUUUGACGGGUAGCCGGCCUGAGAGGGUGACCGGCCACAUUGGGACUGAGAUACCGGCCAGAAUCCUACGGGAGGCAGCAGUGGGGAAUAUUGGACAAUGGGCGGAAGGCUGAUGCAGCAAAGCCGCGUGCGGGAUGACGGCCUUCGGGUUGUAAACCGCUUUCGCCUGUGACGAAGCGUGAGUGACGGUAAUGGGUAAAGAAGCACCGGCUAACUACGUG